rnacentral:rRNA from 1 species
CUCUGUGACUCCUACGGGAGGCAGCAGUGGGAAGUAUUGCACAAUGGGGGAAACCCUGAUGCAGCCAUGCCGCGUGUGUGAAGAAGGCCUUCGGGUUGUAAAGCACUUUCAGUAGGGAGGAAGGUAGUGUAGUUAACACCUGCAUUAUUUGACGUUACCUACAGAAGAAGCACCGGCUAACUCCGUGCCAGCAGCCGCGGUAAUACGGAGGGUGCGAGCGUUAAUCGGAAUUACUGGGCGUAAAGCGCAUGCAGGCGGCCUGUUAAGUCAGAUGUGAAAGCCCCGGGGCUUAACCUCGGAAAUUGCAUUUGAAACUGGCAGGCUAGAGUCUUGUAGAGGGGGUAGAAUUUCAGGUGUAGCGGUGAAAUGCGUAGAGAUCUGAAGGAAUACCAGUGGCGAAGGCGGCCCCCCUGGACAAAGACUGACGCUCAGAUGCGAAAGCGUGGGGAGCAAACAGGAUUAGAUACCCUGGUAG